UGGGGGAUAUUGCACAAUGGGCGAAAGCCUGAUGCAGCGACGCCGCGUGGGGGAUGAAGGCCUUCGGGUUGUAAACUUCUUUUGCUCUGAACAAGGCGCACCAUGGGGUGUGUUGAGUGUAGGGGUUGAUUAGCGCCGGCUAACUACGUGCCAGCAGCCGCGGUAAUACGUAGGGCGCGAGCGUUGUCCGGAAUUAUUGGGCGUAAAGGGCUUGUAGGUGGCUGGUUGCGUCUGUCGUGAAAGCUCAUGGCUUAACUGUGGGUUUGCGGUGGGUACGGGCUGGCUUGAGUGCAGUAGGGGAGGCUGGAAUUCCUGGUGUAGCGGUGGAAUGCGCAGGUAUCAGGAGGAAUACCGGUGGCGAAGGCGGGUCUCUGGGCUGUUACUGACACUGAGGAGCGAAAGCAUGGGUAGCGAACAGG
rnacentral:rRNA from 1 species